GUUGUUUAUUUUUUUAACUAUUUUGGCAAACCUGGCAUAGUAAUAAAACAGCCUGAUGAUUGAUGAACGUUGAAAACAUUUAAUCGCAUGACCGAUGGCCAUGCAUACAAUUCCUCACAUAACAUUCUUAAUAUUGAACUGUAAUAGCAGAUACGUAACGUUAUUUGUAUUUAAUCAUACCAAAACAAUAAACUGUUUAAUAUAUCAGCAAGAUGGCCACAGUGGAAGUGUGCUGUGCUCUUUCUCUGAAGAAUCCCGUGUCCAUAAUUCUGAAUCAUGCAUCGUAAAUUCGGGGAAUGGUGGAAAUUCAGAAUGUACCUAAGUCCGAAGCGCCAUAAUUUGGAGUAUUCCUGUACCACUAGUAAAUAUGCCCAUCAAAAAUGAUAGGUAAAAAUAAAAAAAAUUU
rnacentral:lncRNA from 1 species